CAGUAGCCGCGGGAAUACGAAGGGGGCUAGCGUUGUUCGGAUUUACUGGGCGUAAAGCGCACGUAGGCGGAUCGAUCAGUCAGGGGUGAAAUCCCAGAGCUCAACUCUGGAACUGCCUUUGAUACUGUCGAUCUGGAGUACGGAAGAGGUGAGUGGAAUUCCGAGUGUAGAGGUGAAAUUCGUAGAUAUUCGGAGGAACACCAGUGGCGAAGGCGGCUCACUGGUCCAUUACUGACGCUGAGGUGCGAAAGCGUGGGGAGCAAACAGGAUUAGAGACCCCCGUAGUCCCUGUCUCUUAUAC
rnacentral:rRNA from 1 species